GCUAUCUAUGCCUUACCGGUCUCACCAACAAUAAGCCUGGUGACUGACAAUCGAGAGGGGGCUCUGUCCACGUAGGUGCCAGCACAAGCUGAGGACACAAGUGGAACAGAGGAACCAGCCUUGCACGGAGGAAGCACCUUUUCCUUCUGGUGAUUGAUUGAUGGGGGACAGUGAGGAGGUUUUCAGAGGCUGGAAAAAAUUGUCCCAGUCACUUACUAUGAAGUCUUUGUCAGCAGAAAAGGCUCUCCGGGGUAGAGAAUGAUAUAAUGCAGAUGACAAAUGACAGGUGUGUGUUUCGUUCUGCUUGCUAGGUACUCAGUAUCACACGCAGGACCCUAUCUGCAGAUGUUCUGAAUACCUCUGAGAAUACAGAUUGAUUAUUCAAACAGGAUACCUAAUUCAAGGUAUUAGCUCUUGUCAGAAAGCUUUUACAUUUGAGCUCUGUGUUGGAAAUUCUAUUUUGGCAAUGAAUUGAAAUAGGAAAAGUUGGAAUGAGAAUAAAGGAAAAAGUGAAUUUGCAAAAUAAUCAAGUGCUUAAAAAACUACCCAGCACUUGUGAGGGUUUGCUAUUUCUGACUCAUGUGCAACCCUGUCUGUGCCAGCUUAUGUGCCAAUACUGACUUAUUUGUAGCCCUUUCUCUGCAACUGUGCUUGGAGUUUGGAUUUCAU
rnacentral:sRNA from 1 species